UUGCACGCUGGCGGCAGGCCUAACCCAUGCAAGUCGAGCGGAUGAAGGGAGCUUGCUCCUGGAUUCAGCGGCGGACGGGUGAGUAAUGCCUAGGAAUCUGCCUGGUAGUGGGGGAUAACGUCCGGAAACGGGCGCUAAUACCGCAUACGUCCUGAGGGAGAAAGUGGGGGAUCUUCGGACCUCACGCUAUCAGAUGAGCCUAGGUCGGAUUAGCUAGUUGGUGGGGUAAAGGCCUACCAAGGCGACGAUCCGUAACUGGUCUGAGAGGAUGAUCAGUCACACUGGAACUGAGACACGGUCCAGACUCCUACGGGAGGCAGCAGUGGGGAAUAUUGGACAAUGGGCGAAAGCCUGAUCCAGCCAUGCCGCGUGUGUGAAGAAGGUCUUCGGAUUGUAAAGCACUUUAAGUUGGGAGGAAGGGCAGUAAGUUAAUACCUUGCUGCUUUGACGUUACCAACAGAAUAAGCACCGGCUAACUUCGUG
rnacentral:rRNA from 1 species